UUCUUUCUGGCCACCCUGCUCAAAACUGUCAAAAUAUUAGUGUUGUUUUGAUUUGGAUGAACUUUCAAAAAAUCAAAAGAAAGGACGGAUGAUAAUAAUCCAUGUGCUGUGCUUCCAAUCCAAUCAACGCUGGACAGUAUUUCGCGUCGAAAAGUUUCGAUCACGAAUAGCAGAAAGAGUACUACAGUAACCGAGGUGAGUACGUUCCGAAGUCGACCCCCUCUACUCAAAGGGAUUGCCCAAAAUGUAAGGAACCGGCAGACGUUCCAUGGCACUAUGAAUGCUUCUGCGCGAAUGAGCAAAAUCCCCAGAAUCAUUUGUGGAUUCCACAUUCUUGCGGAGAGAGGUGCAGAAAGCGGUUGUUGCUGGAUUGUGGUCAUAGUUGUGUGGUACUUUGUCACUGUGGGCCAUGCUCUCCGUGUCCUUAGACGGUCGCCGUCUCGCAAAUAUAGUCAGUCGGCGCCGAAAACGAUUAGUUUUUCGCAACGGAACUGGACGUGUCUUUAAUCGUGCAAACAUAAACGAAGCUGGUAUCUGCGAAUGCGGUGAGAUGUGCCAUUACACCGACGAAUGCCCUCCGUAUAAAUCGAAGUAGGGUAAAGUGCCUUUGGACCAAUAAAACUAAAGAGAUCAAAUGUUCGGAGUCAAGCUGCAGUGAAGAAUGUGUCAAUAGAUAUGCUUGUGGAUUACAUUGCAACGAAAAACUUUGUUUCAGCAGCAGUGGUGGUAAGUGUCCGCAAGGCUUGCCAAGGACAUGCACGGAGGAAAUUGGAACUUGUGGUGAUACGCUAGAUACAUGACUGCAGUGAACAUCUGGGGGAAUGUCAGCGUCUUGAGGGUGUUAAGAAAUCAUGAUGCGGUUACAAAGACAAAGAAAUCGCUUGCCAUAAGCAGUUGAUCUGUGAAACAAAAUGCAAAAACGUUAGAAGUUGCAAUAAACAUCCUUGUAAUUUGA